AAAUAGAACUUUGCAGAGAGAGUUAAGAGGGCGUGAAACCGUUAAAUGGCAAACGAAUCGGAGCCACGAAGUCGUUUCGCUGAUAGUUGGUUCAAGUUCAGUUUGGGUGUUGUUGUAUUUCAGCGCGCUCAGGUGCAUUCUUGAGGCUAACCCUCGAUGUAAGCGUACACUGCAACCAGUUAGACGAUUGGCGGUGGAAACAGUGGUUGCCGCGGGAGGUAGUAGUUUGGCUCCAUGAAUUUGGAUGUCCAUAUUGCUGGCCCGUGUCUGCAAGAGAACUACCGCCAAAUACUGACUGGCACAAUGAAAAUCGCCUAACGGCGUUUCUAAAUAACGCAACCUGCGCCGCGUACUGCUACACGCGCGACGUGUAUGUUAAAGUUCGGUGUUUUUGAAUUUGGACUUGCUUGCUACCAAUGGGGCAACUCUUGGUGCUUGUACAGCUUUCAUCUAAUCGAACAUCGACUUUGCAUGCGCUAGUUCGCUCGUGAACCGAUCGGUGGUGCGCGGCAGUUGGCUUGCCGAUAUUGGCAGUGAGUAGGUCGGCUUUCCGAACGACCCGUCUUGAAACACGGACCAAGGAGUCUAGUUAGGCAUCGAGUCGAUCGGUCUUGAAUAGGCCAGUAGUGAGCACACCGCGCGUUGAAGGCGUAGAGAAAUCAUGUGAUCUUGUGGCAAUCCAUGCUGCAAGCGCAACAUGUGCCUGCUCGUAUGCCAUUGCGCAAUGUGGCGGGCGGAGUAAAGAGAUGUCUGACUGGUACCCGAAAGAUGGUGAUGCUUGGGCAAAUUGAAGCCAGAGGAAACUCUGGUGGAGGAUUGUAGCGAUUCUGACGUGCAAAUCGAUCGUCAGACCUGAGUAUAGGGGCGAAAGACUAAUCGAACCAUC
rnacentral:rRNA from 1 species